UCAUACCAAUCACUUUCUUGCUUGUCACAUUGCUAAACUUUGUUGGCUCUCAUUUUCUUUCUCAACAUUAUUUCUAUUAGAAAUAAUCUCAUUGGGCUUUGGAUGUACCAUUUGCCAAUGCCUCUUCUCAUCUGUCAUUUCAAAUUCCACCUCAAUGGAGCUUCGUUUCUUGGCCCCUUUCAGCUCCAACCUCCACCUUCAUCCUCACUUUCAUAU
rnacentral:lncRNA from 1 species